GAUGAACGCUAGCGGCAGGCCUAACACAUGCAAGUCGAGGGGUAGAACACUUCGGUGUUUGAGACCGGCGCGCGGGUGCGUAACGCGUAUGCAAUCUACCUUGUACAGGGGAAUAGCCCAGAGAAAUUUGGAUUAAUGCCCCAUAGUAUAUAACCUUCGCAUGUUGGUUAUAUUAAAGUUUAGGCGGUACAAGAUGAGCAUGCGUCCCAUUAGUUAGUUGGUAAGGUAACGGCUUACCAAGACGAUGAUGGGUAGGGGUCCUGAGAGGGAGAUCCCCCACACUGGUACUGAGACACGGACCAGACUCCUACGGGAGGCAGCAGUGAGGAAUAUUGGUCAAUGGGCGCAAGCCUGAACCAGCCAUGCCGCGUGCAGGAAGAAGCAUCUAUGGUGUGUAAACUGCUUUUAUACAGGAAGAAACAACUCUACGUGUAGAGUCUUGACGGUACUGUAAAGAAUAAGGACCGGCUAACUCCGUGCCAGCAGCCGCGGU
rnacentral:rRNA from 1 species